rnacentral:rRNA from 1 species
GUCCAGACUCCUACGGGAGGCAGCAGUGGGGAAUCUUCCGCAAUGGGCGCAAGCCUGACGGAGCAAUGCCGCGUGAACGAAGAAGGUCUUCGGAUUGUAAAGUUCUUUCCUUAUCGAAGAGAGGGUAUAGAGUGAAAAAUGAUAUACUAGGACGGUAGAUGAGGAGGAAGCCCCGGCUAACUACGUGCCAGCAGCCGCGGUAAUACGUAGGGGGCGAGCGUUGUCCGGAAUCACUGGGCGUAAAGGGCGCGUAGGCGGUAUGUCAAGUCAAGGGUGAAAUCCCCGCGCUCAACGUGGGAACUGCCUUUGAAACUGGCAAACUGGAGUGUGUGAGAGGAUAGUGGAAUUCCAGGUGUAGGAGUGAAAUCCGUAGAUAUCUGGAGGAACAUCAGUGGCGAAGGCGACUAUCUGGCACAUAACUGACGCUGAGGAGCGAAAGCGUGGGUAGCAAACAGGAUUAGAUACCCCAGUAGUC